AUGGGGCCCCGACUCUCCCUCUCCCUCCCACCCGGCUGUCAAGGCCACCAGGAAGCGACUGUUUGGUUUGCGGCGGGGCAGCCAGGGAGAUCUGAGGCCGUUGCUCCGGCUGCCUCAGUGUCCCGGAAGCCCUGCUGUGGGAGGGGAAGGGGCCUGCAGACCCCGGGAGGGCGGCAGCUGCGGUCCCCUCCAAAGGGGGGCAGCGUGGCUCCCAGACUUCCUGCAGGCCAGGCUGAGCAAACCCCUGUCAGCACCAUCUGUCCGGCCUCCUGGGGCACCGUGAACCCCAGUUCUGUCCGCUACGUUUCUGGCAAACCAGCUGUGCAGCUGUGCUUCCCCCCAGCCAGCCACCCCGAGGCAAGCAGCCCAGCGCGGGCCGGGAGUCGGCCUCAGGCUCCAGCAGGACCCGACCACAUCCAGACAUAUCCAGACCGAGCUGCAGCGUCCGGAGCCUUGGGAGAGCAGAAGCCCUGAAUGCCACCGGGGAGACUGGCUCCAGCCUCCCGACCCGGCUUCCUCUCGGGCUCAUGGGCAGUGCUCUGUGCCUGGAUCCCUGGCUCUUCGGCUGCCACAGUGACUGCCUUGCCGUUCAUAAACGGAUUCCGAAGAGCCGGAGCAGAGAUCAACAGAAGCAGCUGCAAG
rnacentral:lncRNA from 1 species